GGUGUAGCGGUGGAAUGCGCAGAUAUCAGGAGGAACACCGAUGGCGAAGGCAGGUNUCUGGGCUGUAACUGACGCUGAGAAGCGAAAGCAUGGGGAGCGAACAGGAUUAGAUACCCUGGUAGUCCAUGCCGUAAACGUUGGGCACUAGGUGUGGGGGACAUUCCACGUUUUCCGCGCCGUAGCUAACGCAUUAAGUGCCCCGCCUGGGGAGUACGGCCGCAAGGCUAAAACUCAAAGAAAUUGACGGGGGCCCGCACAAGCGGCGGAGCAUGCGGAUUAAUUCGAUGCAACGCGAAGAACCUUACCAAGGCUUGACAUAUACUGGACUGCGUCAGAGAUGGCGUUUCCCUUCGGGGCUGGUAUACAGGUGGUGCAUGGUUGUCGUCAGCUCGUGUCGUGAGAUGUUGGGUUANNNNNNGCAACGAGCGCAACCCUCGUUCUAUGUUGCCAGCACGUGAUGGUGGGGACUCAUAGGAGACUGCCGGGGUCAACUCGGAGGAAGGUGGGGAUGACGUCAAAUCAUCAUGCCCCUUAUGUCUUGGGCUUCACGCAUGCUACAAUGGCCGGUACAGAGGGUUGCGAUACUGUGAGGUGGAGCUAAUCCCUAAAAGCCGGUCUCAGUUCGGAUUGGGGUCUGCAACUCGACCCCAUGAAGUCGGAGUCGCUAGUAAUCGCAGAUCAGCAACGCUGCGGUGAAUACGUUCCCGGGCCUUNU
rnacentral:rRNA from 1 species